rnacentral:rRNA from 1 species
GACGAACGCUGGCGGCGUGCCUAAUACAUGCAAGUUGAGCGCUGAAGGUUGGUACUUGUACCAACUGGAUGAGCAGCGAACGGGUGAGUAACGCGUGGGUAAUCUGCCUUUGAGCGGGGGACAACAUUUGGAAACGAAUGCUAAUACCGCAUAAAAACUUUAAACACAAGUUUUAAGUUUGAAAGAUGCAAUUGCAUCACUCAAAGAUGAUCCCGCGUUGUAUUAGCUAGUUGGUGAGGUAAAGGCUCACCAAGGCGAUGAUACAUAGCCGACCUGAGAGGGUGAUCGGCCACAUUGGGACUGAGACACGGCCCAAACUCCUACGGGAGGCAGCAGUAGGGAAUCUUCGGCAAUGGACGAAAGUCUGACCGAGCAACGCCGCGUGAGUGAAGAAGGGUGUCGGAUCGUAAAACUCUGUUGGUAGAGAAGAAAGUUGGUGAGAGUGGAAAGCUCAUCAAGUGACGGUAACUACCCAGAAAGGGACGGCUAACUACGUG